rnacentral:sRNA from 1 species
AAUUUUGAAGACACAGUGUUUCAGAGAGUGAGACGGUGAUUGCUGUGAUUAGAAAUUGGAGAAGCAAUUGGUGGUUGAACAUGCGAUGGGGCAAACCAUUUCAACAUGAAUUGGGGAUGUGCCUGAGAAGACCCAACUUUCCCAAAGGAACCAAGAGCACAGCCUUGGAAGAAAUGAGCUGGAAAUAACACGCUCAUCUAACCACUGAUGUAGAGCUAUAGAACACGUGACCAGUGACAGUCUGUGAGUGGUCUCUCCACGUGACUAAUUAUGACAUGGAUUGUCUAUGCUCCUGGUUCCAGUUUAAGAAGAAAAUAAAAGAAAAUCUUUUAAAUUUCUUCCUUGAUGUCUCAUCAGAAUUGGAGCCACUUUUCCUCUGCAAUACUGCCUUCGGAUGCUGACUGGGACGACUUGUGGGACCAGUUUGAUGAGCGGCGGUAUCUGAAUGCCAAAAAGUGGCGCGUUGGUGACGACCCCUAUAAGCUGUAUGCUUUCAACCAGCGGGAGAGUGAGCGGAUCUCCAGCAAUCGGGCCGUCCCGGACACUCGCCAUCUGAGAUGUACGCUGCUGGUGUAUUGCACGGACCUUCCACCCACUAGCAUCAUCAUCACCUUCCACAACGAGGCCCGCUCCACGCUGCUCAGGACCAUCCGCAGCGUAUUAAACCGCACCCCUACUCAUCUGAUCCGGGAAAUCAUAUUAGUGGAUGACUUCAGCAAUGACCCUGAUGACUGUAAACAGCUCAUCAAGUUGCCCAAGGUGAAAUGCUUGCGCAAUAAUGAACGGCAAGGUCUGGUCCGGUCCCGGAUUCGGGGUGCUGACAUUGCCCAGGGCACCACUCUGACUUUCCUCGACAGCCACUGUGAGGUGAACAGGGACUGGCUCCAGCCUCUGUUGCACAGGGUCAAAGAGAAAUCUCCUUCCGAGUGUGGAUGUGCGGGGGCAGCCUAGAGAUCGUCCCCUGCAGCCGAGUGGGGCACGUCUUCCGGA